rnacentral:snRNA from 1 species
GUGCUUGCUUUGGUAGCACAUAUACUAAAAUUGGAAUGAUACAGAGAAGAUUAACUCAUCCCUGUGCAAGGAUGAUAUGCAAAUUCAUGAAGCAUUCCAUGUUUAA